GACGAACGCUGGCGGCGUGCCUAAUACAUGCAAGUCGAGCGGAUGAAAGAGGAGCUUGCUCCUCUAGAUUCAGCGGCGGACGGGUGAGUAACACGUGGGCAACCUGCCCUGUAGAUUGGGAUAACUCCGGGAAACCGGGGCUAAUACCGAAUAAUCCUUCGGACCUCAUGGUCCGAUGUUGAAAGACGGUUUCGGCUGUCGCAACAGGAUGGGCCCGCGGCGCAUUAGCUAGUUGGUGAGGUAACGGCUCACCAAGGCCACGAUGCGUAGCCGACCUGAGAGGGUGAUCGGCCACACUGGGACUGAGACACGGCCCAGACUCCUACGGGAGGCAGCAGUAGGGAAUCUUCCACAAUGGACGAAAGUCUGAUGGAGCAACGCCGCGUGAGUGAAGAAGGUUCUCGGAUCGUAAAACUCUGUUGUGAGGGAAGAACAAGUACCGGAGUAACUGCCGGUGCCUUGACGGUACCUCAUUAGAAAGCCACGGCUAACUACGUGCCAGCCGCCGCAGUAA
rnacentral:rRNA from 1 species